UGCCGAUGGGUAUCGCACUGUUUGCCGCGUCCUUCUUUCCGGAGACCGCGCCUACUCUUAACUGAGGGGGCGUGGGAGACGGAUCGUUUACUUUGAAAAAAUCAGAGUGUUUCAAGCAGGCAGCUCGCUCUUGCAUGGGACAGCGUGGGAUGAUUGAAUAGGACUCCGGUGCUAUUUUGUUGGUUUCGAACACCAGGAGUAAUGAUUAACAGGGACAGUCAGGGGCACUCGUAUUCCGUCGAGAGAGGUGAAAUUCUCAGACCAAUGGAAGACGAACCACUGCGAAAGCAUUUGCCAGGGAUGUUUUCACUGAUCAAGAACGAAAGGUAGGGGAUCGAAGACGAUCAGAUACCGUCGUAGUCUUAACCAUAAACCAUGCCGACUAGGGAUUGGAGGGUGUUCGUUUCGACCUCUUCAGCACCUUACGGGAAACUAAAGUCUUUGGGUUCCGGGGGGAGUAUGGUCGCAAGGCUGAAACUUAAAGGAAGUGACG
rnacentral:rRNA from 1 species